rnacentral:rRNA from 1 species
AUUGAACGCUGGCGGAAUGCUUUACACAUGCAAGUCGAGCGGCAGCGCGGGGCAACCUGGCGGCGAGCGGCGAACGGGUGAGUAAUACAUCGGAACGUGCCCAGACGUGGGGGAUAACUACUCGAAAGAGUGGCUAAUACCGCAUACGAUCUACGGAUGAAAGCGGGGGAUCGCAAGACCUCGCGCGUCUGGAGCGGCUGAUGGCAGAUUAGGUAGUUGGUGGGAUAAAAGCCUACCAAGCCAACGAUCUGUAGCUGGUCUGAGAGGAUGAUCAGCCACACUGGGACUGAGACACGGCCCAGACUCCUACGGGAGGCAGCAGUGGGGAAUUUUGGACAAUGGGCGAAAGCCUGAUCCAGCCAUUCCGCGUGCAGGAUGAAGGCCCUCGGGUUGUAAACUGCUUUUGUACAGAACGAAAAAAGCUCUGGCUAAUACCUGGAGUCCAUGACGGUACUGUAAGAAUAAGCACCGGCUAACUACGUGCCAGCAGCCG